rnacentral:rRNA from 1 species
GACGUAGGGCGCGAGCGUUGUCCGGAUUUAUUGGGCGUAAAGAGCUCGUAGGCGGUUUGUCGCGUCUGCUGUGAAAACUGGGGGCUCAACCCCCAGCCUGCAGUGGGUACGGGCAGACUAGAGUGCGGUAGGGGAGAUUGGAAUUCCUGGUGUAGCGGUGGAAUGCGCAGAUAUCAGGAGGAACACCAAUGGCGAAGGCAGAUCUCUGGGCUGUAACUGACGCUGAGGAGCGAAAGCAUGGGGAGCGAACAGG